rnacentral:misc_RNA from 1 species
CCGGCGCCGAUCUCAUCCGCGCUAAUUUUCACAAAGCACCGUUCAAAACCUAGCGAUAAUUUAGGGAUUUGAGGAUCAACUUUUCAGUCUCACUGUAUGAAAGUUCGGAUAUAAUUCAGCCAAAUGAGUAUCGAGUCAUUCAAUAGGUUGGUGAAACUUGCGGCAAGAGCUUUCUAUGACGACAUUACAACUAAAGGCGACAACCAGCCCAAGUCCGGUAGAAGUGAUAAUAGAGGAAUUGCAGUGGUGAUUCUUGACGCACUCACAAGGAGGCAAUGGGUGAGGGAAGAAGACUUGGCAAAGGACUUGAAGUUGCACACGAAACAAUUACGCCGCACCUUGCGGUUCUUUGAAGAAGAAAAGCUCAUCACACGGGACCAUAGGAAGGAGGGAGCAAAGGGUGCUAAAGUAUACAAUUCUGCAGUUGCAGCUACUGUUGAUGGUCUGCAGAAUGGGAAAGAAGGAGAUGACAAAAUAAAGAUGCAUACUCAUUCUUAUUGCUGCCUGGACUAUGCACAGAUAUAUGAUGUCGUGAGGUACAGACUGCACCGAAUGAAGAAAAAGUUAAGAGAUGAGCUGGAUAACAAAAACACAGUGCAGGAGUAUAUUUGUCCCAACUGUGCGAAAAGAUAUACUGCGCUGGAUGCGUUGCGGCUGGUCUCUACUGAGGAUGAGUACUUCCACUGUGAGAGUUGCAAUGG